CUAGAAUUCAGAGAUCCACCUGCCUCUGCCUCCCCAGUGCUGGGAUUAAAGGUGCCACCACCACCACCCGGCAGAGGGUGAUUCUUAUAUGUCCUUAAAAUGCUGCCCUAAGCUCAGAACAGCUCUCUGAAGUGUAGGUCAUGUCUGCUUGGUGUCCUGCUACCUAAGUCAAACGCAUGGAUGUGUGUCAGAGUUUCUUAACCUUUUUUUUUUUUCAUUAGCACUCCUGACUCCAGAGAUCUUAUUUAGAUACUGCUCUGUAACCACAUUCCUAUGAAAAAAAUCAAAUUUAUUUAUUUUUAUUUAAUGUGCAUUGGUGUUUUGCCAUGGGUGUUAGUUCCCCUGAAACUGCAGUCACAGAUAGCUGUGAGCCACCAUGUGGGUGCUGGGAAUUGAACCCCGAUCCUCUGGAAGAGCAGCCAUUGCUCUUAACCUCUAAGCCAUCUCUCUAGCCCUCCUAUGAAAUAUUAACACUACAGAUAAACUGCAAGUUUGUUCACAGACUCUAUAUGUAUUUGUGUUUUGCACAUUGUCUUGUCACUGUCCAUUACUAUGAGGAGACACCAGGACCAAGGCAACUCUUACAAAAGAAAGCAUUUAAUUGGGGGCUGGCUUACGGUUUCAGAGACUUGAAAUUUUAGUUCAUUGUCAUCAUGGCAGGGAGCAUGGCAGCAUGCAUGGAGCUGCAGCAGUAGCCCAGAGCUACAUCCUGGUCGGCAGGCUGAAAGAGCCACCCAGUGACACUUCCUUCAACAAGGCCACACCCACUCCAGUAAGACCAUAUUUCCUAACCCUUUCAAACAGUGCCACUUUGUGGUGAAUAAGCAUUCAAAUAUUCAAGCCCAAAGAGGCCAUUCUCACUCAAACCACCAAGCACAUGAAGAGAGUGAAUCCUCUCCCAUCACUAUUCUGCCCCCGGGAGGAUGACACUGUGACAGAGAACACAGCAAGCAGGAGGCGUCAAACAGGUGGCCCUUGUCAGGGCGAUCUCACCACCAAACCUCUCGUCUCCCACGCCCACUGCUCUGCCCUUGCCUGCUCCCAUCUCAACCCAUCACAGACCUCUCCUCCCCAAGAGAACUCUGACUUUGUUACUGUUGGUUUGUUGUCUUCCACACGGUCAUGAACCUCGCUGAGCCAAGCAGACAGUCUCAUUCCCUUUGCUGGUGGCGUGCUAGUGACUGACUGUGGACGGGUGUGUACUACAGUUACAGGCAGGGAGAUGUGAUCUGCUGGGUUUCUUCAUGAAUAAAAGAAACACAUGACAGAGUGGCCAGCCUUUUCCCAGUGGGUGUUGUCAGCCCAUUGUGGGCUGGCUGGAACUUGAACUCUGGCAGCUGUUUUUGUUGUUGUUGUUGUUUGUUUGUUUGUUUGUUUUGCCCACCGGAAGAACAGCUUUAAGAAGUAAGCAGCUGAAGAUGCAGAGCAGAUGAGGUGACCAAGUUCUUGAAGACCUGGAGCCCUUGGCACGCCUGUUGCAUGGUGGCAUUUUUCAUUAUGGUUUUAGCCUGCUGAGUGAGUGUUUCCAGGUACUUGUAACCAAAAGAACCCAGGUGACAUAAGAAAAAAAGGCUUUGUACAGCAAACGAAUUUUGAGCAGACAUAUGAUCAGCGGACUGCUGCAUUUUGGAGCUGAUGACUGGGAACUGGCUUCCUCUAAGCCUGGACCAGCUUAUCCAAGCCCAUUUCUCCAGAAUCCAGGCUCUAUAGCGCCAGGCUUGAAUCACACUGACAGGCUGAAUACCCUUGGGACCAGACCGUGAGAAGACAAGCCACAGAGAAGAAAGUGAUAGGAAGUGAUGCAACAGCUGCUCUCUACAAAAGCUUCGAAUGACACAAAAGAGAAAAUUUAAGUGGCCAAUAAACAGCAUGAAAAGAUAUUGGGCUCAAAUUGAUAAUAUGAUGUAAAUUUAGUCCCAGCUGUGUACCAGUGGACAGCCACAGACUGGAAAAAUCAAAACAUCUGGAGAUAAGGCUGAAACCAAGGCAGACAGAUGCACCAUGAGAAGAGGAGGAGCUGGUGAGGCUGGCAUUCUGAAGGAAGUAGCUCAUGAUUCGUCUUUGCAACAGCAUUUCUGAGUCAUCUUCCAUAUUGUAAGAGUAAGUCUGAUUGCUCUGACAGAGUCUCAUCAACAGUCCCACACCUUAAGAAGUCCACUUCUUUCUCAUGGGAUCAUCCAAGAUAAGCCUUCCAGGCCUUGAGGUGCUCAGUCAUACCUAAUUACAGAGGGAACCACAGUUCUUCCAUCUUGUGGUUCCUCCACGUAGUCAAGGCUGAGUCACCUCCACAGCUGAGUCCCAGUGUGUGGGGAGGGGAAGAAGACUGGGGAGGAGGCACAGGCAGGAGGAUGUAGCCAAGAGGUAACACUCAUAUCCUUGCACAUUCCAUGAGUGGAAGUUCACUGGUCCAGCCAUAUCUAACUGCAGGGAAGGGGGUGAUGGAUCAGUCAGAGCCAGAUUGUUCCCCAGUGUCUUUCUAAUUGGUUAAUCUGCAGGCUGGGGGUUGGGCACAGCUUUGUGCCUGCUGGGCAAGUACUCUGCCAAUGAACUACACCCCCAGCUGUUUCUCCUUAUUUUGAGACAGGGUCCCACUAGGUUGGCCAGGUUGGCCUUAUGCUAUGAUCUUCCUUCCCCAAAUCCCUGGUAUCCAGGAUCACAGGCCUGGGCCACUAGGUCCUAUUCACCCCCAACUUUUCUGUCUCAUGUUUCAAGUUCUUUUGCAGCUCUGCAAAUAGGUGAGACUUUGUCACCAGAAGCUCAGAGCUAGACAGACAACCAGAAAUAUAACAGAAGAAAUUCUGUCAUGUGCUUUAUCUAUAAAAAUGCAA
ensembl:lncRNA